rnacentral:tRNA from 1 species
ACCCAAGUGCUGGAAUUGGUAGACGGGCUACGUUGAGGUCGUAGUGCACUAUGUGCGUGAGGGUUCGACUCCCUCCUUGGGUACUA